AGAGACAGGUGAGUCAUCGAAUCUUUGAACGCACAUCGCGCCCAUUAGUAUUCUAGUGGGCAUGCCUGUUCGAGCGUCAUUUCAACCCUCAAGCUCUAUCUGCUUGGUGUUGGGGUUUUUUCUACAGCAUCUGUAGACCCCAAAAAUCAGUGGCGGACUUGCUGAAGCUCCGAGCGUAGUAAUAUUUCUCGCUUAGGGUGCUACGGUAAGCUUUCUAGCCGUUAAACCCCCAUUUUUAUAAGGUUGACCUCGGAUCAGGUAGGAAUACCCGCUGAACUUAAGCAUAUCAAUAAGCGGAGG
rnacentral:misc_RNA from 1 species